rnacentral:rRNA from 1 species
AACGCUAGCUACAGGCUUAACACAUGCAAGUCGAGGGGAAACGACAUCGAAAGCUUGCUUUUGAUGGGCGUCGACCGGCGCACGGGUGAGUAACGCGUAUCCAACCUGCCCACCACUUGGGGAUAACCUUGCGAAAGUAAGACUAAUACCCAAUGACGUCUCUAGAAGACAUCUGAAGGAGAUUAAAGAUUUAUCGGUGAUGGAUGGGGAUGCGUCUGAUUAGCUUGUUGGCGGGGUAACGGCCCACCAAGGCGACGAUCAGUAGGGGUUCUGAGAGGAAGGUCCCCCACAUUGGAACUGAGACACGGUCCAAACUCCUACGGGAGGCAGCAGUGAGGAAUAUUGGUCAAUGGGCGAGAGCCUGAACCAGCCAAGUAGCGUGCAGGAUGACGGCCCUAUGGGUUGUAAACUGCUUUUAUAAGGGAAUAAAGUUAGUCUCGUGAGACUUUUUGCAUGUACCUUAUGAAUAAGGACCGGCUAAUUCCGUGCCAGCAGCCGCGGUAAUACGGAAGGUCCGGGCGUUAUCCGGAUUUAUUGGGUUUAAAGGGAGCGUAGGCCGGAGAUUAAGCGUGUUGUGAAAUGUAGACGCUCAACGUCUGCACUGCAGCGCGAACUGGUUUCCUUGAGUACGCACAAAGUGGGCGGAAUUCGUGGUGUAGCGGUGAAAUGCUUAGAUAUCACGAAGAACUCCGAUUG